rnacentral:rRNA from 1 species
GAUGAACGCUGGCGGCGUGCCUAAUACAUGCAAGUCGAGCGAACGGACGAGAAGCUUGCUUUUCUGAUGUUAGAGGCGGACGGGUGAGUAACACGUGGAUAACCUACCUAUAAGACUGGGAUAACUUCGGGAAACCGGAGCUAAUACCGGAUAAUAUUUUGAACCGCAUGGUUCAAAAGUGAAAGACGGUCUUGCUGUCACUUAUAGAUGGAUCCGCGCUGCAUUAGCUAGUUGGUAAGGUAACGGCUUACCAAGGCAACGAUGCAUAGCCGACCUGAGAGGGUGAUCGGCCACACUGGAACUGAGACACGGUCCAGACUCCUACGGGAGGCAGCAGUAGGGAAUCUUCCGCAAUGGGCGAAAGCCUGACGGAGCAACGCCGCGUGAGUGAUGAAGGUCUUCGGAUCGUAAAACUCUGUUAUUAGGGAAGAACAUAUGUGUAAGUAACUGUGCACAUCUUGACGGUACCUAAUCAGAAAGCCACAGCUAACUACGUG